UACAGAGGGGGCAAGCGUUAUUCGGAAUUAUUGGGCGUAAAGGGCGCGUAGGCGGCAUGGCAAGUGGAAGGUGAAUCCCUCGGCUUAACCGAGGAACUGCCCUCCAAACUGCUUUGCUUGAGGCCGGGAGAGGCGAGUGGAAUUCCCAGUGUAGCGGUGAAAUGCGUAGAUAUUGGGAGGAACACCAGUGGCGAAGGCGGCUCGCUGGACCGGUUCUGACGCUGAUGCGCGAAAGCGUGGGGAGCAAACGGG
rnacentral:rRNA from 1 species